UCCCCAAUUGGAGAGAUGUUUCAGUGGACUGAUGGACCUGAUGUUUGAUAAUAAGCACUAAUGUGAGUAUCCUGGAAAGUUAUCUUGGCGGUGUGGUGGACAGUUUACUGGAAACACUGUUUCAGUGCAGAGCAGCGAUCAACAGUGAUUGGGUUUUUUUAAUGUUGCUUUCAUGUUCAUUAUUAGCAAAAGGACUGAAAACAGAACAGAAAGUAUCAUAAUGUUUUAAAGUAAAUUUGUGGUGUACCCCAUUUGGAAUAUUAUGUGCAGUUCUGGUUACCUGAUCCUAAGAAAGAUGCUGUAGUGCUGGAAAAGUACAGAAAAGGACAGUUACACCGAUAAAAUGUCUUUUCUUAGCACAAAGAUGUGCAGAGCAGUCCGACAGAACAAUCUUAUACCAGAUCCCUAGAUGCACUGCAGAUAUACAGGCACAGCAACUGGCAAAACCUGUUGGGUAAUAUCUGGUUUUCAGCAUUGCCAUGUAACACCAGCUAAACAUCACAUCUGAAAUAGGGAUGGAGCUAUGUAGAGGCAUUGGCUGGCUUCACUCUUUUUCCUGCACACACACACACACAGUAUAUUGCCAGGUCAAAAAUUAUGAAACCAAUAUCACAAUAUGAACUUCAACCUGGUUUUGGAUGAUAUAUCGCACAGCCAUAGUGCCUGCUCAGCCUUGUGGGAAAGGGGAAAGAUAUAAGUACAUACAUACCACAUAAUUUCCACCACAGUCCACCAAACAUGGAGGUGCUGGCAAUGAAUACUGCAUCAUACACAGAAGCAAAGGCAAUCAGUGACAUCACAAUGAUCUGGGCAUGUCCACAGCACACACCCCAUGCAUCACAGCACACCAUGGUAACACAAUGAUGAUAUAGCAGAUGGACUCUUCUUUUAAAGAGAUUUGCAACAUUUAUGACUCUGUAUAUGUGAGAUACUUUAAUAGCAUCACAGCACACAAUGAUACCACAGCAACCCCACUUCAGCGGCACAGUGGCUCCAGGGGAAUGGGAGCAACUGUCUCAUUGUAGAAAUAACUAUGGUAUUGGUUAGAAUUAUUAUUUUCAGUGCCUCUCCAAAUAUACAUGUCAAAUUCUACUCAUGGCCUCUUUUAAAAAAGAGAUUUGCAACAUUUAUGACUGUAUAUGUGAGAUACUUGAAUAGCAUUUGUGAGGACCUUAAGUAUACAGAAAGCCGGUGGGGGAUGAAUGAUUUAGGCAAUUCAAUAUAUACAUUUACCUGGGAGUGAGUCCAUCUGAACUCAAGGGGGCUUACUUCUCAAUAGAUAUACCUGUAUAUAGGAUUUCACUGUUACAGUUCUGUUAACAUUUCACCAGUUUGGGUGUGCACAUGAAAAUAAUAGCUUGAGGACAAAGAAAAGUUGAGAGUGAGAGACCAAAGAACAGGCACACGCCUAGCAGUCCUGCAAGCAGGUGUCAUUAGCUGUUCUUAGGGUGAUCGCAUAGUUUGUCUGCAGGCUGCCCCAGCUCAUUUUCCCACAAUCUGUCACUGAAAAUAGUUCAGACUUUUGCCUCAUACUGCGUUUUGUCAGGUUGCCCUUGAUCAGCAUCCCAACUUUCUGGUUUCUUUGUGCCAAAGUGAAUGCUUCAUUAAAUUGAAACUAGCCUUCCUCCAAAAUCCUUCACUCUGUUAGAACAGUUAUCAGGUGAUGCUCCACAUCUUAGCUCCUUAUCUUUUGUCACCUCUCCUCCAUUCUUAGCACAAUCUUCCCUUAAAAUGAGAAACAAGAGGCGGAAUUUGCAGACACUCAUUCUUUCACUACUGAUACCAUCAAGACCAGCCCAGCCAGGGCAGCAAAUAGUAUAGUAAUUCAUGUAUUGCUAUAUAAAUUUACAACUAUGGGGCUCCAUUUGCAUUUUCUUCCUUGUGUACCAGAAUGUAUUGGACCACCGCUGGACACCAUGUUCAUUUCUUCUGAGGAAACAAGUUUCUGGUCUCACACACACAAGCUUUGUCAUUUCAUAGUCUUGCAGAAGGAAUUUAGAUGGAUAUUUCUGCUUUGUAUGCAAACAGGUGAAAGUGCUCAGUCAAUCACAAAUGCUUUGUGUUGGUUAGAACUAGAUUUUAACCCAUAUGGCAUAACUGCCUAAAGUUGUGGGAGAGGCAGUGUUAAAUGGAACAGUAAACACAAUGUUUAUGUUGUUGGGUGAGUGGCUCCAGCCUUCCUUCAUUAUUGUUAUUUUUUAAAAAAUAGAUAUAGUUACAAAGUGGCAGAUGCAAGCACUCUCUUGUUAUUAAUGAGUUUGCAAAAACUAAAUAAGGGCAUUAGUGUAUAACAUCCUAAGUGAAAAUAACUGCUGACUCCUGAUGUUGAAGCUUUUAAGAGGCUUGCUUUUUAAACCAGCAUGUACUUGAGAAAUGGGUCAUGUGUACAAAGUAUAGUUGACUUCUUUCCUUCUUCAUAUCCCUUGGAGUCUUUGUAACUUGCUGGACAAAGCUUGGAUAAAUAAAUGUUUAACCCUAUUAAACUUGUUAAUUAACUUGUCAAUUUUGAGUCAGGCUUCCGUACAGCCAAUCUCCUGCUUAGUGAGAAACCAGGAAGCCUUUGCAAUCUGCAACAUGGUUUUUCCUUUUUCCUUCUCCUUUCGCGUCACAAAUGGCUUAGUACCAGGCAUUAGGGAAGGGGGUAAAGCAGCAAGGAGGGAUUAUUUUCCUUCUCUGAUGCCUAUUGUGAAGUGAUAGAAAAGACCACAGCCAUUCCAUCUCCCAGUCUUUUGUACGUGCAAGAGGAGUCAAGGGAGGGACAGGAUCUUAUUUCACUUCAUGCUGGGCUUUUGUAGAAGGCCCUUUGCCUCUGCUGAGUAGAGCCCAAGGGUCCAAAUACAGAGGUGGUCAAAAGCAUGGAGGCUCCAGGAAGUUUCUCAUUUCAGUAGCUAGCUUUUGCAGAAUGCUGCUGGGUGCUUGAGAUGGGAAGCUUCCUAGAGCUUGAUCAGAGAAACUUGGGAGCUGCACAGUCCCUUCCUCCCUCUAGGCUUGGGAGCAUCACUGGGCUUGUUCACUGAUGGCAAGGAGCCUCGGAGCAAAGCAAAAAAGCCAUUGUCAGUGUUUGUUUGGCUGUAUUUGAGCUGAGUUUGGCAUUUACUAUGUGGACAAAAAAAGAUGAAACAUGAAGAGUUAAUUUAGAACCCUCCCUUUUUUUUGGUGGGCCAUUCUCAAAUUGACCGGAGAGAAAUUUACUCAACAGUUUCAAGGCAACAUGCAAGGUUCCUGUACAGUGGUACCUCGGGUUACAGACGCUUCAGGUUACAGACUCUGCUAACCCAGAAAUAGUACCUUGGGUUAAGAGCUUUGCUUCAGGAUGAGAACAGAAAUUGCACGGCGGCAGCAGGAGGCCCCAUUAGCUAAAGUGGUGCUUCAGGUUAAGAACAGUUACAGGUUAAGAAUGGACCUCCAGAACGAAUUAAGUUCUUAACCUGAGGUACCACUGUAUAGUAGAAUGAUGAAUGCUAGUUUGAACACCAAAGAUGUCUGUAUACAAGAUGACUUGCCUAGUGAAAUAAGUUAACAGCAAUUUCAGUGUGUUUUGUGCACAUUAACGAUUUUCUGAAACAUUUGUUUAAACAAUAUGUUUCUUCAUUCCUUUCUUCAGUGUAAAGGACUAAACUUGAAAUGGGGCCUUACCAAGGCAAGAGACUGUUCCUUUCUUGUCCUGCUUUGUGGGUGUCCUUCUGAAACAUCAAACUUUCAUUAUAUUUAAUUAUUGAUUGGAAGCAUUUUUCAUGCCAGAGCAGCACUUUACACAUAGUGAAAUCACUUCUCUGGAGAGAGGAAAUGUUUCAAGUGAUUCUUGGGUUGAUUUCAGUUUUGCAAAUUGCUCAGUUCUGCCCCCACCUUUGUGUACCCAAUAAACUUAAAGCACAAAACGAUAAGCACAGUGAUUAUGCUACCAUGAAUCUCGUGGGUUCUAAUGGCCUAAUGCACUGAGCUUUAAUUAGUAAUAUAUAUAAUUUUUUUUACAAGAGCAAUAUUGUGAAUGAAAUGUAGAUGAAUGUGACUUUAUAUCUGAGUUUCCCAGAAGGUUUUAAAUGGAUUCCUGCUCCUGAUGUGUGUCUAAAUAAUUAAUAGAGUCGCUUCAAGGUUUUAGACAAACAAGGCUAUUGGUUGCUAGUAAAGAAGAAGAAAAAUGCCUUAGAACAGUGUUAAGUGCUCCCCUCUUUUCAUGGAAGUUUGAGGUUUGGGGGCAAGAUUACUGAGUUUUAGUUGCAUUGAGUGAAGAGAGCACUGGAAACUUAUGAUGUCUUUAUAAUUUGCUUUAUUUGCGAAUAUUCAAACAAAGCAUAUUACAAGUAAAUAAGUACUACUUCAGCAGACAAUCUUCAAUAUUUAUUUCCAGGGAAAGCCCCUGUACUCGUUUCAUCUUAUUCUACCUAGAAACUCUCAACAUUCUCCUCCUCUCUCAAAUUCUAUCCAAACGUAAACUGAUUUUAAAGAUUUUAUCUGAUCCCUAAUGCUAGUUGGAGGGCAUCAUUUUUCCAAACUCUGCUUCAUAUUACAUCCAAUAGCUGGAGGGAGAUUUCAGGCUAUUCGGGGAACAUUUCCUGUUAUUAUCUCCCACUGGUGAAACAUGAACCAGUCAGCAGAGGCACCCAGGGGUGGGGUGAGCGUUCCACGGGGGCAGGGCAGUGAGCAUGGGGGCAGCGCCACUCGCGGUGAGCGUCCCACAGGGGUAGGGUGCCGAUGUCACCCCCCCCUCAGGGAUGACACCCGGGGCGAACCACACCCCCUUCCUCCGCCAGAGGCAAAUGUGGGUGAAUCCGAGGCCAAAGUGGGUGGAGUAAUGUAUGUGAAGCUUUCCUUGGUGCAAUAGGCUGAUAUCCAGUCGUGAAAAAGGUCAGAAGUUUACACAAACAUACACACACCUCUCUGUCUUCCACCCUUGCAAGUAAGAGCCCAUUCCAGCCAGGCAAAAACCCUUGAGGAGGGUGCAGAGUAGGGCCAGUGAGAGGUGUGGUGUGAGGAGGGGUUGUGGCUUAGGGAAAGACCCCAAGGGAUGGUCAGAGGGGUCUAGAAGACUCCAUUUGGCCCCCUGUAGAAUAUCUUCAGAAGGGAAAGUUACACAGCCUCUUUCUCUUGCCAUUCCUCCUCCCAAACUGGCAGUCUUCAGCAUUACUAUUCAUAGGUGAGGGGGACCCACCAGAAUAUUGUUUUAUUUAUUUGUGCAUUGACAUAUUCAGGAUCAGCACUUUCACAGAAGUAUAUCAAGCUGGUGUCCAAUGUACAAGAUAUAAUAAAAUCAGUUUGGUGUUGUUGUUUUUUUAAAAAAACAUAAUUAAAAACUUUAAUAAAUUGUUGCAUUAGACUGUUUGGAGAACUCAUUACUGCAGAAUUCAGCAACUUGUUUACCAGUUGGAACCAGGACCAUGAAAUAAGGUAGAUAAUGGUUGGAGGCUGCGGCAUCCUUCGUUUAGAACUCUUCCUUCUUUUCAGUGCCAAGUGCUGCUUAACUGUCUGGGCCUUUUAGUUUGCUUGUUUCUUGAUGGAAUCUUAUCUGCUUUGUGAUCUGUUUUAUUCUUUGGUAUUUAUUGUGGAUAUUAUUCUUGCAACCUGCUAUAUGAGCUUCUGCUGAAGAGCAGCUAAUAAAUAAUUUAAAUAAAUAAAUGUAAAACCCAGCUUGCCACUUAGAAACCAAGAAAGCAACAAGUGACCACUCCAUCCUGUAUGUGGAAUGCAAGUGCUUGUUUCAUAAAUUGUGUGUAGUGCUGCACACACUGGAGGCAGGCAGAUGUUGUCCCCAUCUUCAAAAAGGAGAAAAAAGAAGAUCCAGGUAACAACUGACCAGUGAGGACCAGGAAAUGUCCUGGAACAGACAAUUGAACUCAUUUUGUGAUUACUAAGACCCAGCAUGGGUUUCUUAAGCCAGUAGGGAUGUGGGUGGCACUGUGGUCUAAACCACUGAGGCUCUUGGACUUGCUGAUUGUAAGGUUGGCAGUUUGACUCCUCAUGACAGGGUGAGCUCCCGUUGCUCUGUCCUAGCUAUGGCCAACAUAGCAGUUCGAAAGCAUACCUGCGCAAGUAGACAAAUAGGUACUGCUGCGGUGGGAAGAUAAAUGGCAUUUCCUUGCAUUCUAGCACCUGUCACAGUCUUCUGUGUGCCAGAAGUGGUUUAGUCAUGCUGGCCACAUGACCCGGAAAAGCAGUCUGCUGACAAAAGCCAGCUCCCUUGGCCUGAAAGCGGAGAUGAACGCCGCAACCCCAUAGUCAAAUUCGACUGGACUUGAACUAUCCAGUGGUCCUUUACCUUUACCUUACUAUUAAGCCAGUGAAUUCAAGUUACAAGAAAGGAGAUUACAACUAAUAAUCAAGAAGAACUUUCUGACAGUAAGGGCUGUUUGAGAUUGGAAUGGACUCCCUUGGCAGGUUGUGGACUCCUGCUUACUAGAGUUUUUAAGCAGAGGUUCGAUGGCCAUCUGUCAUGGAUGCUUUAAUUGAUAUUCCUGCAUGGCAGGGGAUUGGACUGGAUGACUUUCAGGGUCCCUUCCAACACUACAAUCCUAUGAUUCUAUUGAUGAGGGUUGCAGUGAUGGGGAUAGUCUAGCAGACUUCCGUGUCUAGUCUCCCAUUCUGCUCAGGGUUUCCCAUUCCUUUGCAUGGUUUUUCUCCAGAGCUAGAAACAGUUUUCUCUGUCUGCCAGCUACACAGUCAAUUUCUUCCUGAUCUGGCAGAAUAGUUAUGUACUAGCCUAAGACACGACAUGGUUGGCAGGCUGAAGAGCUUUAUGCUGAAUAGUAUAUUGCUUAGGUCCAAGCUAUCUGAAAGACAGCAUUCCCUCAUAUGAACCUGCCUAGGUUAUGAGAUCUUAUAGGGGAGGCCCUUGCCUUGGUCUAGACACCUUCACAGGCAUGCUUGGUAGCGAUGUGGGAAAGGGUUUUCUUGGUGGCUGCUCCCAGAAUUUGGAACUUCCUCCCUAGAUAAGCUGGGGGGGGGGGGGUGUUACUGGGUUGUUGUUUUUAUUUUGAUUAUGUAUUUUGUGGUUUUGUGUGUUGAUUUUAUUCUGUGAGCUUCCCUGAGACCUCCAGGUAUAGGGCGGUAUAUUAUAAUAAUAAAAUAAGAAGAAGAAGAAGAAGAAGAAGAAGAAGAAGAAGAAGAAGAAGAAGUAGUAGUAGUAGUAGUAAUAGUAAUAGUAGUAGACUGGCUCGCUCCUUGUCGUCCUUCUGCUGGCAGGUGAAAACCUCCUUAUUCCAACUGCUUUUCAUGAAACUGACUGCUUUUAAUGAAAGGGCUGGUGCCGUGGUGUUUUUAAUUAUCUGUAUCUUUUAAAUAAAUUAUAUAUGUUUUUUAAUGAUUCCCCCCCCCCCCAAUGUUUUAGCUGCUCUUAUUUUUAACUGUAAACUGCCUUGAGUCCCUUCCAGGGAACAAGGUGGGGUAUAAUUAAAUGUACAACAACAAGAAGGUGUGAGGAUAGGUUUUAAAAAUAAAAUUGGUUGGCUUAGUGAAGUUAAUACAAGUGUUUUCAAUCCAUAUCAAGGAAUUCCAUAGUUCUGAUAGAAAAUAAACAUUUUUUCACAGAAUGCCGAAAACUCAUCAGUGUCAAACUUCACAAGUCAAAAGCAGGUUUCCUCAACCUCGGCCCUCCAGAUGUUUUUGGCCUACAACUCCCAUGAUCCCUAGCUAGCAGGACCAGUGGUCAGGGAUGAUGGGAAUUGUAGUCUCAAAACAUCUGGAGGGCCGAGGUUGAAGAAGCCUGGUCAAAAGGCCUUCUCCAGCAGAUCUGAAUGGGCAGGCAGAACAAGACAGGGGGAGGUGCUCCUUCAGCACACGGGAUUGUUAAAAAUUUGGGCUUUAUAGACCCAAACCAUCAUCUUGAAUUGAACUUGGUAGUGAAUAGGCAGCUCUUUCAAGAGUGGCAUUACAUGGUCCCAUGUUGCUCUUCUGUACUAUUUCCAAACCGUCUUUAAGAGCAGCCAACUUACCACACUCUAACAGUAGACAAGCCCUUUUAGCGUGAUUAUCAUGCAAAACUUGUUGACUGCGUAGAAAUAAGAGCAGAAUUUCAAACUAGGACAUAAACUACAGUAGUAUAGUAUUUGCCAAACUUUUCAGAGUGGGUGUCUACUUUUAACAACAGCCUACAUUAUGACAUCCACUUCUAAACAUUUCCUAGAUCUAGAACAAGUAAACCUGUAACAAAGAUUGUUGCAGCGUGGAGAGCUGCUGUUCCCUCUUCCAAACCGCCAUUGCCUCCUCCUCCAUUGUUCCCCAUUCUUUUCCAUGACUUGCCUUCCUACCCAGUUUCCCUUUCUUCACUCCUUAUUGGGUUGCUCUGUGGGCAAUAAUUAGCAUCAGCAAUAGGGGGAAUGGUGUUCCUGCCUUUUUCAUUUCUUUGCUUUUCUUCUUGUUUCUUUCCCCUUCUACCUCUUUCUUUCUUUUCAAAACUGUAAACUAUUGGAAAAAAAGAAAAAGAAAUGGGAGGUGCAAUCCAUUUUAGAUAUGGGUGCAUCUCAAUCCUGGAACCCGACUCAAUAGAUAGAAUGAAUUGGUGGAACUUAGGGACAGCUAAUUACUGCAGGAAAUACCGUAGCUAUUGAAAAGGCACUGUUGUUUUAUUUUAAGACAUCAAGCAAGGGUUAACGGGCAUUUAAAUAUUUUUGUAGCUGUUGUAAAUCACAGUGCCCUAGCAGCUUCCAAAUAACUUGAAUGUACUGGCCAUUUUCUUAUUCCAAAGAGAUAGGGGGGAAAGAAAAUAUUAAUACAAGUAGUGUUGUCACCAUCUUAUUGAAUUUGUGGUGUACAGGAAAUUACACGGACAGCAUCACCAGGAAAGAUAAGCACAUAAUACUCAGAGUUAAUGACACAAUAUUCUAACUCUCACUGUGUAUAUAUUAGCACCUCUGAUUUCACUCAAGUGACUGGCAAAGUAUCAUAGGUAAUUAAAGCAAAAUACAAACUGCUUUCAUGAGUUGUGAGAGGCGGUUUAAUUUAGGAGCUUAUGGCUUAAAUACCUGUCAAUAGCAGAAUCAAAACUGCUGUAAUAUAUUUCAUACAAUAAUUAUACAACAAUAGUACUGUAUUUAUUCAAGUCUAAUGCGCCAUUGAAUCUAAUGCGCACCUUAAUUUUUGCAAUGUAAUUUGGCCAAAAAGGUUAGCAUUACAUUUGAGUAAAUAUUGUAAUUAUGAUUAUUAUUAAUGUCAUUUAUGAAUCUCUUCUCAUGCAGGAUCCUUAAGUGAUUUACAGUAUAAUAAAUAUAUAAAUGCUGCGUAUAUAAAAACAGCUAAAGUUGUUGCAUAGAUAAAUACGUACACAUGUGCUAUCAAACAGCACUUCACGCAACUGGAUCCCUUUUAGAAUUCAGGAUGUAUGGGUGUGGAUUUAUUUUCUUGCUACUAUUUAUAAAAUUUAUUAGUUUUAAUGUUUUUAGCCGUGUGUUCCUCAAAUUCUUUUUUAGCUUCCCUUACUAUCUGCUUGCAAUCUUUCUUAUACCAAUGUUUGAGUUCUUUUUUGUUCUCUUCCUUUGGACAGGACUUGGCAGUUUUUGAUGGACACCUGCUUGCCUCUCAUAGCUUCUUUGACUCCGCUCAUUAACCAUGCUGGUGUCCUCUUGACCCUCAUGGUACCUUUCCAGAUAUACACUCCAGCUGAGUAUCUCAUAAUUGUGACUUCACCUUUCAGUGUCAUUUUUGCCAAUCUCUUGAUGGAUUUUCUUGGCAGUUGACCAUUUACAUGUAUAUUUAAUUAAUAGCACUAUGGCCAAUGCUCCCAGUUGGCUCAGCAAUACUUAUAGAAUCAUAUAAUCAUAGAGUUGGAAGAGACCACAAGGGCCAUCGAGUCCAACCCCCUGCCAAGCAGGAAACACCAUCAGAGCACUCCUGACAUAUGGUUGUCAAGCCUCUGCUUAAAGACCUCCAAAGAAGGAGACUCCACCACACUCCUUGGCAGCAAAUUCCACUGUCGAACAGCUCUUACUGUCAGGAAGUUCUUCCUAAUGUUUAGGUGGAAUCUUCUUUCUUGUAGUUUGGAUCCAUUGCUCCGUGUCCGCUUCUCUGGAGCAGCAGAAAACAACCUUUCUCCCUCCUCUAUGUGACAUCCUUUGAUAUAUUUGAACAUGGCUAUCAUAUCACCCCUUAACCUCCUCUUCUCCAGGCUAAACAUGCCCAGCUCCCUUAGCCGUUCCUCAUAAGGCAUCGUUUCCAGGCCUUUGACCAUUUUGGUUGCCCUCCUUGGGGCACGUUCCAGCUUGUCAGUGUCCUUCUUGAACUGUGGUGCCCAGAACUGGACACAGUACUCCAGGUGAGGUCUGACCAGAGCAGAAUACAGUGGCACUAUUACUUCCCUUGAUCUAGAUGCUAUACUCCUAUUGAUGAGGCCCAGAAUUGCAUUGGCUUUUUAGCUGCCGCGUCACACUGUUGGCUCAUGUCAAGUUUGUGGUCAACCAAGACUCCUAGAUCCUUUUCACAUGUACUGCUCUCAAGCCAGGUGUCACCCAUCUUGUAUUUGUGCCUCUCAUUUUUUUUGCCCAAGUGCAAUACUUUACAUUUCUCCCUGUUAAAAUUCAUCUUGUCUGUUUUGGCCCAGUUCUCUAAUCUGUCAAGGUCGUUUUGAAGUGUGAUCCUGUCCUCUGGGGUGUUAGCCACCCCUCCCAGUUUGGUGUCAUCUGCAAAUUUGAUCAGGAUGCCCUUGAGUCCAUCAUCCAAGUCAUUGAUAAAGAUGUUGAAUAAGACCGGGCCCAAGACAGAACCCUGUGGCACCCCACUAGUCACUCUUCUCCAGGAUGAAGAGGAACCAUUGAUGAGCACCCUUUGGGUUCGGUCAGUCAGCCAGUUACAAAUCCACUGAGUGGUAGCAUAGUCAAGACCGCAUUUUACCAGCUUCUUUACAAGAAUAUCAUGGGGCACCUUGUCAAAUGCCUUGCUGAAAUCAAGGUAGGCUACAUCCACUGCGUUCCCUUCAUCUACCAGGCUUGUAAUUCUGUCAAAAACGAGAUCAGGUUAGUCUGACAUGACUUAUUUUUCAGAAAUCCAUGCUGACUAUUGGUGAUCACAGCAUUCCUUUCUAGGUGCUCACAGACUGUUUGCUUAAUGAUCUGCUCCAGAAUCUUCCCUGGUAUUGAUGUCAGACUGACUGGGCGGUAAUUAUUUGGGUCCUCUCUUUCCCCCUUUUUGAAAAUAGGGCAACAUUUGCCCUCCUCCAGUCUGCCAGGACUUCGCCUGUUCUCCAGGAAUUCUCAAAGAUGACUGCCAGUGGUUCUGAGAUCACAUCUGCCAGUUCUUUUAAUUCUCUUGGAUGCAGUUCAUCUGGCCCUGGAGACUUGAAUACAUCUAAACUAGCCAAGUGUUCUUGUACUAUCUCCUUAUAUCUCACACCAGGCCCUGGGCACCUCUCAAUAUUAAGUCCAUGCUUGCAACCUGUCUGGUUGGUUCCAGCACCAGCUGUCUAGGGCAGUCAUCUAGGGCAUCUAGAUUUGCCACUUUGUCCUGACUGGAACACAUUGGUGGUCAGUUUUAGGGCUGGGCGAUAUCUGAUAUAUCACGAAAAUCAUCAGCUAAAUAUCAUGAUAUCACAGUAUAUACCUGUGGCAGUGGAGGGCCUUAUCAGGCCGCCGCAUGGUGGCAGAGGGUACCGCCUGUCAGGCUGCUGUCAGCGGCUCCUAGCUGGUUGCUCAGGAAAGUAUGAAGACAAGGAAAAGUUUCUUACAGUUCUUUUUUAUUUCAAUCUUUACAGAGAGAGGCUAUAGAACCCAGCCUCUUGGAUAGUGGCCUUGUCCCGAGUGAAGCUCCACCCGCUUCUCUCCCACUUCUUCAUUUGUCAUUAUCAUCUCCUCUACAGGUGCUGCUACGUGCCCUCUGUCUUUGAGCUCUUUGCUCUCCUACUUUUAAGGCUUGCCCAGUUCCGGGAGAUGGAGGGUCUGGAAUGCUUUCUAAUGACAAUGUGUCAGCCAGGUGUUGCUAGGCUCUGCCUGCUCCUCCAACUUUCCCCCUCAUCUGUCUCUGAACUGUGACCUCCCACAAACCACUGUUGUAAAUCUAUACUGUCUUCCUAUUCCUCCUUCCUGGAAGAGUCAGGAUGGGGAGGCAGUCUCCACCACCACUCCUCCUCCUCUGCCCAGUCCCUGACAUCACCUUACCUCCCUGCAGUGGCAGAGGAUGUGCCACGCUUCACCGCAGCUGCAGAGGGCCUUGCCACGCCUCCCUGCAGUGGCAGAGGGUCCUGCGGUACCGCCCCACAAUGACAGCAGCAGAGGGCCUUGCAAAGGGCAUGUUCUGUUGUUUCCAGGUGCCCAGAGCCACAGGGGCAUUUCCUCUCCUCGUAUGGUGUCUUCCUAAAGCGGCUUCCUGGAUGGCCGAAGGGAGGGCCUGGCAGUGGGCCAGAUGGAAAGCUCUUCGCUGUUUUGGAAUUUCAAGGUUGGCUAUAUAUGGCAUCUGGGAGGUGAGGUGCCUUCUGGUUUCACUGAUUAAAAAUUUCAGGGACUUGGCUAGAUCUGCUUGGUGUUCUGCAUUUUUACCCACUGUUUGAUGGGUUUUUUGGGGCUUGUUCAUACCCCAUGUUGAGUAGGAUCUGUGGGGCGAAGCCUAGAGUUGUCAUUAUAUUUAUCACUACACAUUUCCAUAUUGUUUGGAAACCGUCCUGAAGGGUUAAGGGAGCAAGACCACGCAGGGGGAAGGAUAAUCUCAGCCAAUAAUUUAGUGUAGCAAGCCAUACUUUGGCCUCGAUUCUCACGAAUCCGGUUUUGAGAUAUAUAGCAGCAUCGGAGAUGUGUUUAGGCACUUGUAGGGCUGAACAUAAGAAUUCACCACCUCUAAUGGUGUGCAAUUGACAAGGGGCCAAAUAGGGCACCAUAAACAAACUGUGCAAUGGAUUUGGCCUCAAACAGUUUGAGGGCUGCAGGUAUAUAUUGUCCGCCUUUAGUCCUAAGGUACCUGUAUAGAAUUUAUGCUUCUCUGGGCAUUCCCUGCAACAUAAUCCCAGUGGGCUUUUCUGUUUCCCAAGGAAUGAAGGGUUAUACCCAAAUAUUUGAAGCAGGUGACCUGAUCAAUGUUAUGACCAUCAAUGUACCAUGAGCAAGGUUUUGGCCUUUUGACAAAGACCAUGAUUUUGGUUUUCUGAUAAUUGAGUUCUAGUUUGCUCUCCUUGCAGUACACUGCCAGUGUUUUCACGGUUCUUUUAAGGCCCGUAGGAGUUAUUGAGAGGAUUGCUGUGCCAUGGGGGACAGUGGUCGAGCAGGUGUGGGGGACUCCCUGGUCCUGAAUGGGGUAACUAUGCCCCUGAAGGACCAGGUGCUCAGCCUAGGAGUCAUUUUGGACUCACAGCUGUCCAUGGAGGCACAGGUCAAUUCUGUGUCCAGGGCAGCUGUCUACCAGCUCCAUCUGGUAUGCGGGCUGAGACUCUACCUGCCCGCGGAUUGUCUCGCCAGAGUGGUGCAUGCUCUGGUUAUCUCCCACUUGGACUACUGCAAUGUGCUGUAUGUGGGGCCACCUUUGAAGGUGACCUGGAAACUACAACUAAUGCAGAAUGUGGCAGCCAGACUGGUGACUGGGAGUGGCCACCAAGACCAUAUUACACCAGUCCUAAAAGACCUACACUGGCUCCCAGUACAUUUCCGAGCACAAUUCAAAGUGUUGGUGCUGACCUUUAAAGCCCUAAACGGCCUUGGCCCAGUAUACCUGAAGGAGCGUCCUCACCCCCAUUGUUCAGCCCGGACACUGAGGUCCAGUGCUGAGGGCCUUCUGACGGUUCCGUCACUGCAAGAAGUGAGGAUACAGGGAACCAGGCAAAGGGCCUUCUCAGUAGUGGCCCCCUCCCUGUGGAACGCCCUCCCAUUAGAUGUCAAGGAAAUAAACAACUGUCUAACUUUUAGAAGACAUCUGAAGGCAGCCCUGUUUAGGGAAGUUUUUAAUGUUUGAUGUUUUAUCAUGUUUUUAAUACUUUGUUGGGAGCCGCCCAGAGUGGCUGGGGAAACCCAGCCAGAUGGGCGGGGUAUAAAUAAAAUCAUCAUCAACAACAUCAUCAUCAUCUGCAUAAAGCAGCACAGGGAUAUGCUUUCCUGCUCAUUUUGGAGGGUGGAAGUUCAUAUUGUGGAAGGGGGUACCAUAUCAUUUAUAUAGAAAUUGAAUAAAGAUGUAAACUGUAUUCUCCGUUUAGUUUUAUUUACUCCAGGGUUGCCCAACCUUUCAUGCUAAGUGGGCCGUGAGAGUACUUUGACACAGAACCCUCAGGCUGCAAACUGCCUUGUUGCAUGGGGGCAGGGAGAGAGGCCAAAAUCCCCCCCCCCUUUGCAUUGCCUCCGCAAAGCCAGCUAAGUGAGUUGCCAAGGAUUUAGGCCCUGUCAGAGCCCUCCUUCCCAAAGCCCAGCACCUCACUUACCCAUCUUGAUGGAGGCAGUGUGUGGGCUGGGGGGAUGCAAACGUUCCCGAAGGCCGCCAAAAAAUACCUCAAGGCCCAGACAUAGGACUACUCUACUUUACCCUUAAAGGUAAAGGUAAAAAGGUAAAGGGAUCCCUGACCGUAGUCGCAGUCGGCUCUGGGGUUGCGGCGCUCAUCUCGCUUUACUGGCCGAGGGAGCCGAUGUUUGUCUACAGACAGCUUCCAGGUCAUGUGGCCAGCAUGACUAAGCCGCUUCUGGCGAACCAGAGCAGCACACAGAAAUGCCGUUUACCUUCCCGCCAGAGCGGUACCUAUUUAUCUACUUGCAUUUUGAUGUGCUUUCGAACUGCUAGGCUGGCAGGAGCUGGAACCGAGCAACGGGAGCUCACCCCGUCGCGGGGAUUCGAACCGCCGACCUUCUGAUCGGCAAGUCCUAGGCUCUGUGGUUUAGAUCACAGUGCCAUGCGCAUCCCUCUGCUUUACCCUUACAUCACAUUAAAUGGCACACUGACCCAAAUGUCUAUGUCAAUAUAUAAUAGCAUAGCCUUGAUGCCAUGGGGUUUUGUGACAUCUAUGAAAGACAAUUAUUUUAUAUACUAGGGCUCUGUAGUUUUGAAAUUGAUAGACUGAGAAAAUAGUUGAUUUGUGCUGAUUCUGGGGGGACACCACCGCUAUGCUGGUUUGACAUGUUUGUUGGGGUAUCAGGGAAGUACUUUUGGCAUAUUUAUGCCAGCAGCAUAUUUCAGAUUCCAUUGCCAUAGCAGAUCACAGGUUGAUCACAGGUUGAUAGUACAUCUAAUUUAUCACUUGCUAAUGUGAAACAAAGUAUGACUUCUCUUUUUGACAUUAAAUGCAGAAUUCUAAUUUAAAUAAGUGCUGCUGAUAGAACUAUCAUGAACUGAGAAAUUUAAUUGAAAGCUGAAUUUAAAAACACAACAAUGUAACAUUAAUUGCAGUUUUUGAACUCAGCUUUAAAGUGUUAUAUAUUCAUAUGGUUUAAUUAAUUUCUUAAUCCAAAACAAACCCAUAGAAUUAGCUGACAUUUCAAAAGUUUAUAAAUUUACUUUUAAAACACUGGGAGACAUUGUAUUUCCUGGAAGGGCACUUUGUCUGCACAGAUGCCAGUGGGUUAGUUAUGGCGGUGAUGUAGCUUUUCUAGAUGCACAGCAAUAUAUAACAAAUGAUGCCAGUCUCAAAUCUCUUAAUGGAAGAUUGGCACAUUGACUGCAAUGGGCACUUUGGCACUAUCCAAACAUAGAAAUUGGACUCUGGUUGACUUCAGAGGGAGAAUUACACUCUAAAUGUUUUGAGGCUGAAAGAAAAAGAUGUCUCUCGCUUUAUUCAAUUUUCAGAUCCCUUCCCACUUCUAUCAAUGUCAUCAGCAUGCUGAUAUAAUUCAAUUCCAUCUUCCAUUAGCCGCUAAUGCCACAUUAGGCUGGCUAGCUAAAUUAGAUCCUCCCUAGGUGUUUGCUCUUGGCUCUCAUCGUAUGUAUGAAAGAAGCAACCUGGUCUCCCCACUGGUUUCUCGCAUUUGUUCCUAAUGUACUCUGCCCACCCUGUCCAUUCUUUCCAAUCAAUUUUAUUGGCUACAUUAGUGCUUUCCCAGCUUUAAUGACUUGGGGCUUCAGAUAUAAAACACUAAAAAAGACAAACUCAACCUAACUAAGAACAGAAGCUCAGAAUGGAUGAAACUCAAGUAGUACUAUGGCCUCAUCCAGAAUUAUAAUCUUAAAACAGUUGUUUACAAGGUUAGAUCAGUUCCAUCCCGGUACUAAAAAUGUGAUUCUAUAAUCGUAUAUCUGGUUUCACGAACAGUAAAGGUGCUGCUUUCAUUGUUGCACUGCUGCUAUAAUCAGUGGUGCUUUAAACAAGUUGCACAUUGAAUAAUUUAAACUCAAUCUUUCUUUGGAAUGGAAUGGAAUUUUUAAAAUUCAUAUUGAGAUGAAGCAAGCUGUUUACAGGCUGGCAACAUGGCGAAGGCAUGCAUGGUGCCCAGUGACUUGUUCCUGCUGGUCCUUGCCUUCCUGAGGUAAAACCAUUUCAUGCUUUUGGAAAGAUGACUGUUGUGACAAAGUAAGACCCCACUGCCAUAGGCGGCAGGUCUAGGGGGCCACAGAAAAUUUGUGGGUGCUUAGCACCCACAAUGCGGGGCUCUGAUGUGACUUGUGGUUUCUACUUGAAGUCAUGUCACAGCCCCAACGCAACCUCCCAGAGGGUGUCACAGGCCCUGCCAGGCCUCCAAAAGUGACUUCAGGUAGAAACCGGAAGUUGCACUGGAGGUUUCGCAAGCAGGGGUGGAGGAAGGGGGGUGCGGUGGGGGCGGGGCUCCCUGGGUGUCUCCACUGAGCGGGGUGAGAAAAUGCCAGGCGGCACUCACCGUGGGGCCAGCAGCACACCUGAGCCUCGCGUCUCUCCUGGGAGUGACGCGGUGGCUUGGGCACCCGCAGGCUCCGCACGGCUGCAAAUGGUCCACCCACUGCCUCCCCCUCAGCUGUAGGGUGGCUGAGUGGGAGGAGGCAGGCAGACUCCUCAGAGGUCUCAGAGGCCCUGCGUGGCGUCCUGCCCCGCCCCUGGGCACAGGGCACGCAUGCUGUCCCAGGGGCCCGAUCAGCUUGCUCUGCCGCUGCUCUUGAGGCCUAGGACAUGACCUCCAAGACCCCACCGGUGUCAGAAGCAACGCCCGAGGCCUUUCCAGACCUCUGAAUACAACUUCCAGUAGGAUCCAGAAGUCACGUCGGAGGUUUUGUGAGGAUUUGAACGUAACCUCCAAGACCUCGCAAGGCUUCAGAAAGACUGCUACGCUGCUGCGGUAACAUGACAUCACAACAUCACGUCACGGGUGUCAUUGGGCACCUAUAACCUGGGGCCCAAGUCAGCGCCUCUGUCCACCGCUGCUUCUCUCCUUUAUACUUUCAACUACUGGUUGAAGUCACCAGAAACCAAAAAGUGGCAAGCUGUUCCCAAUGGUCCUCCUGCAAAGAACGCAAAGAGAGAAUCUUCAUCCAGUUUUGAUGGCUCCAAUGAGGGUGAGAAGCCCCCAGCUAGAAAACAAGUGGCUAAGCUUGCUGCUUUGCCCAAAAAUGCCAGUAAAGGCAGCUCCUGACAGUGCAGAGAGUAGCAGUGAUGAUUCUAGUGACUCUUCUGAUUCAGAGCAAGAAAAGUAGUCAGCCAAGAAGACAACAGAAAGCUACCCCAAAAACAAAGGCACAGAAGAUGCCUAGAAGUUGUAUUUCAGAUUCAAGUAGCUCAGAAGAUGCGGCUCCAAAGAAGCAGCAACCAAAGCCAGGGGAAGGCCAAAAAAGGCAGCAAAACCAGCAAGUUUAUGCACCCAUGCCAUAGAAGGCAAGCCCUACCAGGGAGGGUAAUUAAUUAGGGCAUUUCAGCUAGAGGAUUCCAAAGUACCAUGUCCAUAGAAACUUUUGGUGGACCACAUGAGUCAACAGUGUGAUGCAGCAGCAAAAAAAGCUAAUGCUAUUCUAGGCUGCAUCAACGGAUGUAUAGUGUCCAGAUAGUAGGGAAGUAAUAGUACCACCUAUUCUGCCUUGGUCAGACCACACAUGGAAUACUGUGUCCAAUUCUGGGUUCCACAAUUUAAGGAUGUUGACAAGCUGGAACGUGAACAGAGGAGGGCAACCAAGAUGAUCAAGGGUCUGGAAACUAUGCCUUAUGAAGAACGGUUGAAGGAGUUGGGUAUGUUUAACCUGGAAAAGAGAAGAAUGUCACAUGGAAGAGGGAACAAGCAUGCGUUCUCCUGUUCUGGCCUGAACCAAUGGCUUCCAGUUACAAGAAAGGUGAUUCCGACUAAACAUCAGGAAUAACUUUCUGAUGGCAAGAGCUGAUUGACAGUGGAACAGUCUCCCACAGGAGAUUGUCGACUCUCUUUCCUUGGAGGUUUUAAAGCAGAGGUUGGAUGGCCAUCUAUCAUGGAUGCUUUAGCUGAGAUCCCUGCAUUGCAGCGGGUUAGACUAGAUGACCCUUGGGAUACUUUCCAAAUCUACAAUUCUAUGAUUCUAUGAUUUAUAUUCCUGGUUGGUGGCUAGUUCACUCUGAAGAAGGAAUUGUGGUUCCCACAAUGUGUGUAUGAGAUGGCAACUGAGAUUAUAUAUUUGGUCCUGGGGACUCAGUUGCCAAUUCCUUGUUAAUCAGCAUUUUGUUUGUUGGUUUUAGAGUUCAAAGUACUUAUUUCAGGCAUGUUAGGACCAUUCUUACAUUGUGCAGCCUUCGAGGCUUUUAAACUACCGGUAUAUCACUUUUGGGACAUGGGUGGCGCUGUGGGUUAAACCACAGAGCCUAGGACUUGCCGAUCAGAAGGUCGGCGGUUCGAAUCCCCGUGAUGGGGUGAGCUCCCGUUGCUCAGUCCCUGCUCCUACCAACCGAGCAGUUCGAAAACAUGUCAAAGUGCAAGUAGAUAAAUAGGUACCACUCCAGUGGGAAGGUAAACGGCAUUUCCGUGCGCUGCUCUGGUUCGCCAGAAGCAGCUUAGUCAUGCUGGCCACAUGCUGUACGCCGGCUCCCUCGGCCAGUAAAGCGAGAUGAGCGCCUCAACCCCAGAGUCGGUCACGACUGGACCUAAUGGUCAGGGGUCCAUUUACCUUUACCUUUACCUUUAUAUCACCUUUGACCCUGUCCCUCCUUCUAGGGAUGUUCCAUUUCAUUUUUUGAACCUCUUGCCUGCCUGUCACUUUAAAAAGAGCUUGAAGGGGAAGAUGUUAUUUGUAUGUCAAAUACAAGGAGGUCACUUGCCCUCUUACAUAUAACAACAUUAGUUCCAUUUCAGAAGGUUAACAGUGUCACUCUCACACUGCUACACAGUGUUCUUCAAAAACUAUGAAUCUUGUGGCACCUUAAAGAGUAACACUGACCACAAGAUUUUGCUUGAAUGCUGCUUUGCUGCUUUGGAAAAUAGCCUACCUCUUAGGUGUUUUGUAAGGCAGCUCAAGGUCCAUCCGCUUCUGCUUUCGUGCCCCACUUUCAUUAUUAAGAAAUAAAAAACUGGCUAUAACCUUUACUCCCUUUUGUCAGAAGUGGAUGAAAUUAUUUUAUUAUUUAUUUUAUUUGACAGAAGGAGAUGACAUUUGCAGGCAUUAUUUUUUCUUUCAGAGGGGAUAAAACCUAGCAAGUCAGCUUAAGGGCUUUUGUGUGGGGCACCUUUAAAGUUUGAUUUAUUUUUAAAGGAAACAUGUAUUAUUAUUUUAUUUGGGUUCAAAAUUAAAUGAUAUUUGCAGUGAAAGUUGUACAGUUUGUUUUCUGAGGGCAUUAAUCCUGUCAAGUUUCAGAACAAUUGCUGCAGCAGUUUUCCUGAAAAGGCAGCUUUCACAUUUUAUUUUAUGUUUACCCAUCCUAAAACUGUCAUUGCCCCUAGUUGUGAACUAUUUGUGAACAAUUGGUCUGAAACCUGCAGACAUGGAAGAGGGGCCCCAGCAAAAGGCACCAGCCAAAUUGCAGAAAAAUAGUUCCGAGGGUAUUGCGUUAGGCACUCAGUGCUGAUUUUGAAGUGAUAAAAACUAAAAAGGAUUUGUUUUCCAAGUAAAAUUAUUCUCCCUGACAGAAUCUAGACCUGUCAGUCACAAAGGAGGCUUCCCUCCACCUUCUCUCCACUCUGAUGGAUGCUGUCUCUUCCUCCAUUACUGUACCCUGAAACUAUGGGAAGCUUAGAGACAUUGCUUCCAUUUCAGCGUAUGCUUGCUGCAGAUAGUGUAGGCAAAUGGAUUUUGUGGUGUGUUCUGGGAGGAACCUGGAAGCAUGUGUAGCAAUCAGUGUGUUUUCUGUUUAAAGAGGGGCUUAUAAACUUUCACAAUAAUGUCCAGAAAGUAAAAUUCAUGUAUAGACUGGUUUAGGCUCAGGUUGAUGGUGGAGUGGAAGACAUUGAAGUUCUGGUAGAACUGUAGUAGGCCUUCCUUCCCAUGAUUCCCAAUGAUGAAGUCAUCAAUGGUAUCUCAAAUAGAGGAGAGGUUUUUGGGGAACAGAGCUGAGAACACAUUGUUAAGUCAGCCAUGAAAAUGUUAGCAUAAGGCAGGCAUAGGCAAACUCAGCCCUCCAGAUGUUUUGGGACUACAACUCCCAUCCCUGACCACUGGGCCUGUUAGCUAGGGAUGAUGGGAGUUGUAGUCCUAAAACAUCUGGAGGGCUGAGUUUGCCUGGCAUAAGGCAAAAGCAUCAAAGGUCAUAGUUUUGUAGCCAGGUGCGCAGUAGUUUCAUCAACAAACUCUUAUGGCUUGCUGUCCAUUUAUCUGGGGGAUAUUGAUGUAGAUUGUCAAGAGAUUGUGCAAAAACUGCGAAGUCAGUGGUAUCCUUGGAGUACUUGCGGUAUCUGGUCUGAGAAGGAAGUCCAUAUAACCCAACUCUGAUAUAGCUGUGAAGCUAUGGGUUGCACAGAGUUACUCAGUUUGUGGGGGUUUUUUUGGAGCAAAUAGAAGACGCCCGAGGCUUGUAUGUAGUUUUGAUCCUGCUCAUCUAUGGGAAAUUCCUUAUCAGGUUAUGUAGUUCCUCCUGCAUUUUUGAGGAUAAAAAGCCUGCAAAAAGUGGGUUUGGAGAGUUGCCUCUCAUCUUCCUGUUUGAAGUCCACUUUGUUCAUAGUGAUGACAGCUCUUCUUUUGUCAUCCUCUUUAAUUAGCAUUGUUUCUGCAUCUUUAGCUUGAUAUCUCAGUUUAUAUUGACAAUAUAUUACAUUUUUUAUACAUAAAGAAAACUAAAUGGUGCAAAUAAUUAUUAAGGAAGUAAGCAUAUAAUAAGGGUUUCCAGUGCUGAACUUCUACACUUAGUUCCAGUGUCUUGCUGUGCACUUUUUUGUAGACUUUGUGGGAAGCCAUGCUCUUUCCUGAAAAGUAGCUGCCAGAAAGCGCCCCGAAACCCCCAGGAAUGCAAAAACAACCAAAAGUCUUGCGGCACCUUAAAGGCAAACACAUUUUAUUAUGGCAGAAACUUUCAUAUCCUCUUUAUUAUGUAUGGCACAAGACUCCACUUCAUCCGAUGAAUGAACUAGGAAACCAAGUUACUAAUGCAGCUGCUUUAGGGCUUCAUUAGAUCUUAUAUGGCAGACAAGGAUAACAAUGCCCUUGCUGUUUAUAGAAAUUAAAAGCAGCUGCAGGAGACUAUGGAUUAUUAGCGUGCAGGAAUGACGAGAAAAAAAUAGGAUUUUGACUUCUGUCUUUUUCCAGAUCAAAAUUGCCCCUCUCCCACCUGCCUUUCUGACUGCAGGAGAAAAAACAUUCUAUCCUACAUAAAAUAGAGGGAGUGGGGGUGGGGUGAACGCAGCAGCAGCACUAAAACCAAAGGAAGGAAGCAUCGGCCACCCCUCUCCCUGUUCCUCCGCUCCUGAUCACACUCCCUUGCUGCAGCUUGCCAUGAUAAAAUUUUGUCAUGAAGGGCCUAUACAGUGGUACCUCGGGUUACAGACGCUUCAGGUUAUAGACUCUGCUAAGCCAGAAAUAGUACCUUGGGUUAAGAACUUUGCUUCAGGAUGAGAACAGAAAUCGUGCUCCGGCGGCACGGCAGCAGCGGGAGGACCCUUUAGCUAAAGUGGUGCUUCAGGUUAAGAACUGUUUCAGGUUAAGUACAGACCUCCAGAAGGAAUUAAGUACUUAACCCAAGGUACCACUGUACUAGUUUGCCAUGUGAAAUCUAGUUGGGCCCUAAAACAGAUGUAGUAGAAAUGCAAGUGAGAAUGAACCGCUGGUAAUUUUGUGCUUUAUUCCUAGAGUGAAUCCAUUCAUUUUACUUUAAAAAGAAUAGAAAGCAAAAGUCAGUUUUAGUAUGUAUCAAGAUUCAGGAGUAUAUAAAGGUGUAUUUUUUUAUUGUUAAAGAGGCUAUAUGUUGUUUAAUAGAUUAAAACACAAGAAUCUGUCCCCUGUCAUUCAUGAUGUGGCCCUGCCCUUGAGGCUACAUCUUUAUUGCAUUGUACAGGGUGCUGCCCUUGAAGACUGGUCCAGAACAUGACUAUGGGCUUCCUGGCAGGGUACAGAGAAGGAGCAUAUAAUAGUAUAGUGUACUGGUUAGGGUGUCCUAGUCUUAGGACCUGGGAAACCAGGGUUCAGAUCCCCACUCAGCCAGGAAGUUCAUGGGGGUGACUGGCCCAUCACCAACUCACAGGGUUGUACGCAUGGUGUACUUGACACUGGACUGCACUUUGGAGAGUUCACCACAACAUGGUAGCCCUCCUUCUGAGAUCUUUUUGAGAUUUUGGAGGAAGCCUUUUUCCAGGUUUCCCCAACACCUGAGCUGAGGAUGGUGGUGACUGGUGAAGACACCUUAUCAGCACCCCUCCCUCUUCAUUUAGGUACCAGUUAAAAAAUAAUAAUUAGGCCUUUCUUUAAUUUGUGCUUUUUUUACCUCCAUUCUUUUUACUUCUGUUUUGUUUUGUAUCAACCUGCUUAGGUGUGAAGUUUAUGCUCUUAUCUUUCUCUACCUAUUAUAUUUUUUGUUGUUUUAUUAUAGUUCCUUGUUUUCUGUUAACUGCUAUCUUAACUUUUUCUUUUUAGUUGCCUUGAAUCCUUUUUUAAGAUGAUGACAGGACGAAAUGUGUUUCUUUGUUUCAGAAUUAAAAACAAUAACAAACCCCAAAUGCCUUUGAUGAACUGCACUUACGUCCUCACCCUGUGCAGUGUGGCUCAUAGCACUGGGCUGGAUGGCUUCAGCCCUGGCCAAAGGUCACUGUACUGCUUAGGACCCAGCCACUGCACACUCCUUUGUAGAAAACACCCCGCAGUAAUAGGAAAGGGAUCACAUUCCAAGGAGAUGAGACAGAGCCAUAUUGUGAUUUUCUAUCAGUGUCACUGAGUCUUUUGCACUGUGGCAAGAUAGGGUGUCCUGACCAAAGGAGAGACAGACUGUCGCGUUAGGCAGUGCAGAAAGGAGCUCUGAUUUUUCUAGGUGCUUGCGUACAAAUUUAUUUUAGUUUUGCACAGUAAAGUCUUAGUUACAUCCCGUCUGGAUUACUAUAACGUGUUCUACAUGGGGCUGCCUUUGAAAAUCGCCCAGAAGUUCCAACUGGCUCAAAGAGCUGCAGCCAGAUUGCUGACCGGGGCUGGUUACAGGGAGCAGAUCACUCCCUUGUUACAACAGCUCCACUGGCUAUGGGUCUAUUUCUGGGCACAAAUCAAAGUGCCGGUUAAGACCUAUAAGUCCCUCAAUGGCUUAGGACCAAGCGAUCUAAAAGAUCAUAUUCCCUCAUAUGAACCUGCCCAGGUUCUGAGAUCUUCGGGAGAGGUCCUUCUCUCAGUCCCACCACCCUCACAGGCCUGUUGGGAGGGCAGGGACAUGGGAGAGGGCCUUCUUAGUGGCUGCUUCCAGACAACUUUGGAACUCCCUCCCCAGAGAAGCUAGACUGGCUACUUCCUUGUUGACCUUCCACUGGGAGGUGAAGACUUUCCUGUUCCAAUAGGCUUUUGGGAACUGACUGCUUUUAAUUAAAGGGAUGGUGCUGUGCUGUUUUUAUUGCAAUUAUUUGUAUGAUUUUAAUAGAUUAGACAUAAUAUAGUUUUUAUUCUAUUGAUAGAAUUAAUGGAAUUAAUUCUAUUAAUUCCAUUUUCCCCUCUCCAUGUUUUUAGCUGCUCUUAUUUUUAUCUGUAAGCCUUCUUGAGUUCCUGCAGGGAAUAAGGCAGGGUAUAAAUAAAUAUAGAAGAAGAAGAAGAAGAAGAAGAAGAAGAAGAAGAAGAAGAAGAAGAAGAAGAAGAAAUUUUAUUUAUAUCCCGCCCUCCCCAGCCAAAGCCAGGCUCAGGGCGGCUAACAACAAACAAAUAAUCAAACAAUCAAAUAAUCCAACAUUCUAAAACAUUUCAUUAUAAAAAUUAAUUAAAAUCAAAUUAAUGGCAACCGUUAAGCAAAGUUCUGUGCAGGUUGCCAGAGGAAGGAGUCAGGCUGGGCCCUGACCAAAGGCCUGGUGGAACAACUCUGUCUUGCAGGCCUUGCGGAAAGAUGUCAGGUCCCGCAGGGCCCUAGUCUCUUGUGACAGAGCGUUCCACCAGAUUGGAGCCGCAGCCGAGAAAGCCCUGGCUCUAGUUGAGGCCAGCCUAACCUCUCUGAGGCCUGGGACCUUCAGGAUGUUUUUAUUUGCAGACCGUAGGUUCCUCUGUGGGGCAUACCAGGAGAGGCGGUCCCGUAGGUACAAGGGUCCUAGGCCGUAUAGGGCUUUAAAGGUUAAAACCAGCACCUUAAACCUGAUCCUGUACUCCACCGGGAGCCAGUGCAGCUGGUAUAGUACCGGAUGAAUGUGAUCUCGCAGCGAAGACCCCAUAAGGAGUCUCGCCGCGGCAUUCUGCACCCGCUGGAGUUUCUGGAUCAGUCUCAAGGGCAGCCCCACGUAGAGCGAGUUACAAUAAUCCAGUCUGGAGGUGACCGUCGCGUGGAUCACAGUGGCUAGGUCAGGGCGAGAGAGAUAAGGGGCCAACUGCUUAGCUUGGCGGAGAUGAAAAGAAGAAGAAGAAGAAGCAGCAGCAGCAGCAGCAGCAGCAGCAGCAGCAGCAGCAACUGCCCAUAGAAUACAAAGCCUUGUUGACACUUGCAUUUUGCCCUUGUUGUGAUCAUGCUGGUGAGUUCAGAUGAGUCUGCAUGUUACAGAGCAGUUCAAUAAAGCUUUGAAUCUCUAAGGGUAGAUAAUUAUCGUAUAGGAGGGUUCUGUUCGGCUCCAGAAACUGAGAAGGGUUUGGUGGCUUCUUCCAGUAGACUACUUCUCAGUAAUUAAGGCCAAUUGAAGAACAUGAGUAAUCAAUUUAGCGUUUAGGAGCCAGAUGCUUUUAAGCUCCAAUAUGAGUUUGAGGUCCAAAACAGAACUUAAGAUGGGGGUUGAAUAACUAGGCAAUUUAAGUUAUUCAGGUGUUUCAUGUCAAAGCAUGGCUGGUACCUACCAACACUCAAGUUUAAUCAAUGACUAGGCCUGGGCAAUGUAUCAAUACAUCACCCAGGAUCAGUAUGAGGCCGCGAUAAUCUGGGUGAAGCUGCCAUUAUGCUUUGGCCCUUAUACCACAGAAGGAACGCGUGGGCAGGUGGCUUCUUUAAACUGCUCCGCUGGGGGGGGGGGGUUUGCCUGUGCCUCAGUGGGGCAGUUUAAUGAAGCCCCCACUGCAGCUCACAUGAGCUAGAGGCAAGGGGCUUGAUCAUUAAUUUUUUAAAACCAGAUACUGACACUGAUACAAGGCAAACCUUAGGGCUCAUGCAUGCUGCUAUUGCAGACUUCUGGUGGGGGAUAUGACCAGAGCCUGUGGUGAGCAUGGGAAAAGCCAAGGUGUGUGUGUGGGGGGGGGGGAACACGACGACACCCACCUUCUUGCUCUUUCUCUCUGUCAACCCUUUUCUCUCUUCCUCUCCCUCUUUUUCUUUUAAAUGUGCAUGUCACUUGACUCAAGCUUCAGUAAUUCUGUAAAUUUUCUUUUAAAUACAAAGCAUGUGUGUACACAGACCUGCUUAUGAAUACUUCAGCUGUAGGGAAAGAUUUAUACAAAUUAGCAUCAGAGUGAAUAUUGGAUACUUCAUAAAGUAGACAGUCAUUGUUACAGAUGAAGUCUCCUUUGGUUGAGAUGUUAAAAUUUAAAACAGAGAAGUUCAAGCCACAAUCCUACAUAUAGUUACAGGCAGUCCUUUUUUUUUCUUUAAAAAAAAAAUGUUUAGGGGUACUCUCAUUUUCCUACUCAUAUUGAAAUACUGCCCCUCAAUGAAUCCAAACUUAGAUUCACAAAAUGUUUAGAGGUAUGUGUCCCCCCAGAAAAAAGCACUGGUUUCGGGGAAGUAUGUCCCCGACAAACUCAAGGACCUUACUUCUGAGUAAAUAUAUUUGGAUUGGACUCUAAGGGAGGGAGCGCAGGAUGGAAAAAGUCUUACAGUGCAGUCUUAGGCAUUUCUACUCAGAAAUAAAUCUCAAUGGGUUCAGUGGGCUUACUCUGCUUAAGUCAGCGGAUAUUUUAGCCUUUAAAAGGGAGAUAGGGAAGAAAGGCAACAGAGAGCACCAGGGAGAGAAUUAAACAGUGGUGAGAGGGGGAAUUAAAAACUACUGAGGUGAAAAGAGGAAAGGCACAUUGGGGAAGCUGGAGAAUGAAGCUUUUGGAGAUAUGCUGGCCUCUUUAGAAUCAGAGCAUUUUAGAGUUGGAAGGGACCUUGGAGGCAUCUAGUCCACCCCCUGAUCAGUAUAGCAUUUACAGUGCAGGAUCUGCAACUGCAGCAUCCUUGAUUGAUGUCCAUCCAGCCUCUAUUUAAAUACCACCCAAGGCAGUUUGUUCCACUGUUGAAUCUGCUUCCCCAUGAUUUUCUAACAGAGAAGAAGUCAACAUCAGUGCUUCCCAAACCUUUCUCCCAAUGGACCACCUGAAAAUUGCUGAGGGUCUUGGCAGUCCACUUAAUUAUUUUUCUGCCUGUUGUAGCAAUUGUAAUGCUCUGUGUUAGAUGCUGUAUGACUUUUAAUUGUAACUUUAGAGAUAGGCUAUUGACCACCGGAUUGAAGCUGGUGGACUGUCCUUACACCAGAGUUUGAGAACUGCUGUUCUACAUAACAGAACCUCCUCCAUUCUCCUAGAAUUCUCAAAGACUGCAGACAGUGGCUCCUUGACUUGACUCCUCUGAGCCUGGAAACAUGAGCUGCUCCAAAGUAGCUAGGUCUUCUCCAACCAUCUCCUUGCCUGUCCUGGGCUGCAGGUUCUUUCUUAUAUAAUUUGUUUUUCUGCUCCUAGGUUGAACACACUUCCCUUUUUAGGAGAAUAUACCAUUGCAUAUUAAGAUCAUUUCUUCUGACUUUUUGUUUCAUACCUCAGAGUAACAAUAGGAAUGUUACCCAUAGAAGUUGAAGUGUCACUGUGUGUGGUGUUUUUUGUUUUUUGUUUUAAGCCAAAGGUAUUAUUUGUGCUCUUGGUAUGUGUGCCUAAUAUAUGUAUAUGAACAUUCAGCGUGGAGGAUAAGUGGGUUAGCUUGAGAGAGAGUUAGUUGCUCCUGCGGAAUAUGUCUCCACAUCUAUUCUGAAACACAGAGGAGGGAGGGAGACUGGAGUGACGUCUCUCUGCACUCCCCAAAUGACUCCCCGGUUCUUCAUGGUUCUGAAGAGAUUCUUGGCUGAAUUCUUUGCUCUCCAUUUUCCGCCACUAGAGAGUCGGAACAUUGGCUUCCUAAUGCACUGCACAGGUUCUUACAAAAGGCUAGUUCUCUUGGGGUUAUUGGAAUAAAAGAACAGAUGGUGCGGCUCCUCUGGAGUUUCCUAAUUGUUGAGUUUACUGUUGCACAUUAACAGCUAAAUGCAGGCAGGGACAUUAACAUAAAUACGCCCAGCUCAGGCUUGCAGAAAAGGUGUGUGGAGAAUUGUUGUGUUCCCUGAAUAUCAUGUGAAGCAGAGGGGUUUCGGGUUUUGUGUGUGGGGUUUUUUAAGGGCUGGCAACAAUCCAGCAUAACGCUAGACAACCCAGGAAUGACAUAUUGUUCAGGAUUGUUCGUUAUGUAAUGUUAAGGAUUUUAUAAAUCAUUACCACUGGAAAUAUAUAUCUGCCUUGAACAGAGGAAUAGACCACCAUGGAAUGUUCUUCAGGGCAUAUGAGGAACUUUUGUUGCUAAAUAUAGUGCCCCCUUUAUGGAGGGGAGGCUCCUACAACCCUGAAAUUCCAGCUCAAACUUGGGUUGAGGACAGUACUCACUAUAUAUUGUGUUCUUCCUUUUGUUUUAUGCUCUCAUACCAUUUAUUUAUAUGUGCAUAUUGGUUGAGGUAAAUUAAAUUUUUAUAAAGACUGCCUCUCAUGUCUUUGUUUCUUUUAAUUUUUUGUGCAUGUGUGAGUAAAUUCUGUCUGAGGGAGAGACAGGUACACUUCCCUUCACAGGAGAUCUUAUAUUGCCUAGUUAGCUGAUAAAUUUGUACCAUCUAAUUCCUGAGGGGGAUAACUGUCUCCUGGGGGGCAGAAACAUGAGACACUCAACUCUGCCUCUUGUUUCCAUCUUCUAAUCCCAGGGACAGGACACUAAGAAUUCUGAAUCUGUGCCUGGAGGCAAUGCAGGAGCAGAUGAGGGUGAACAAACUGAGGUUUAAUCCAGACAAAGUGAAUGCACUGCAAGUAGAGACUUAGAAAGACAUCAUGCUCCAGAAAGUGCUUUGCA